GGUGCCAGCAGCCGCGGUAAUUCCAGCUCCAAAAGCGUAUAUUAAAAUUGCUGCGUUUAAAACGCUCGUAGUUGGAUCUCCGGUGAGGGGUGAUCGGUGACGGCAAUGUGCCGUCCACUGGCUUCGGCUCGGUCGUCGUUGCCUGGUCGGCAGCGGCUGUUAGCGCGGUCGCGAUCGGCUCUGGUGGCGUGCGGUCGGUCGAGUUACAUCCCCACCUAGACUAGCCGGCGUCUCCUCGGGUGCUCUUGGUUGAGUGUCCUGGGGCGGCCUGGCCCGUUUACUUUGAGCAAACAGAAGUGAUCAAAGCAGGCAGUUCACAAAUGUGUGCCACUGAACUGGUCGUGCAUGGAAUAAUGGAAUAGGACCUCGGUUCUGUUGUGUUGGUUUCUGGAGUCCGAGGCAAUGAUUAAGAGGGACAGACGGGGGCAUUCGUAUUGCGGCGGGAGAGGUGAAAUUCUUAUAUCGCCGCAAGACGCUCUACUG
rnacentral:rRNA from 1 species